ACGAGGAUAUCUGAAAUUGGGAAUUAGGGUUGGAAUGUGACCUUUGGAGUUACUCUUCCCUCUUCUCUCUCGAUGACGGUGCGGCGCGACGAUUCUCUUUGUCUCCGAUCAAAACGCUGGCAUAUCAUCGUCAAUGGAAGACGAUCCUGACCAACACUCUAAGCUUCAUCUCCUCAACCAAUUACACGCGAGAUUUCCGCUUUGGCCGAAAGAAAGAAGAAGACGAACCCUGGUGUGAAGAUUGAAGCGAAGACGAUGUUGUUUUCAGAUUGUUGCUAAUCGUGUUGAAGAUUGCAACGAAGAUGAAUCGGUGACGUAAUUGAUGAACUUGCACUGUGAAUUAUUGAGUUGCAUUUUGGCGAUGGGCGAAGAACGACGAAGCUGCCGGAGAGGCUCCGACGGCCUUCACCUUGACGUCGGUGAUUGAUAAACGCUAACACCACGAAUUCCUCAGCUUCUUAUAUGCUAUGAGCUUGAUGAUGAAUAUCACGAUCUUGAGAAGACGUUGAUGGAAGAAUCAGACCGUGUGUGGUAUUGUUGAGCAGAAUUUUUGAAGAAGUGAAGAUUGCAGGUGGUGAUGAAUGAACCGUGAGAGAGUGAGAAGUGGAUCUGGUUCUAUGGUGAAGAAGGUUUAGAGAAGGAGAUGAAGAAUGGUGGAUGCAGUGACGAGGUGGAAGAAAAAUGGUGAAGUGAAGAGAGCUGAGAAGAAUGAUCGAUCUUUGUUAUAUAGAGAUGAAAGGUUAGUGAUUUGUGGAGAAUUGUGGUGAGUGAAGAAGAAAUUCACAAUGGUCCAGCUCUGGUUUUAUAGAAGGUGAAAGAAUUAGCAGGUUCCUUCAAUCUCCCCCUGAUUUUCUGUUUUUAUUCAGUUUCAAUUCGGUUAGGCAGUUAUAGAAUCAGUUGGAGGUUUGUUAUAAGGUAGUUAGGAAGUUAGAAUUGUUAGGGGAUCCUGUUAUUUUCUGUUAUAAAUGGUUAGGAAAUGAAUUCUGUUAUGAAUGCUGUUAGGGAUGUUAAUUAAGGGUAGUUAUAACCGUUACUGUUAGUUUGGUAAUUGAUUAAAAGGCUUGAAAGUGUUUAGUUACAAAACAGUUAGGCGGUUACCAAUUCUGUUAGAAGUUGGUUUAGGUGGUUAGUGAUCAGUUAUGAUGGUUACAUUCUGUUAUCAAUGUUAGUUGACAGUUGAAACAGACUUGGUGGAUGGUUGAGACAGUCAGCCUUCUAUAACUGAUUUGUUGUGUUUAUUUUUGGAUUGUUGAACCGAUUAAUGCCGUUGGACCGAUGAACUGGUGGCUGGAUGUUUAUUUAGGGGACUGUUUAGGAUUAUUUUGGGAUUGUUAAGGGCUAUAUAACUGAAAUUGGUUUUCUCUUGUUGCAUUGCUAUGUGUGUGGUUCUGAAUUUUGCAUGAUUCUAUUAUGAACUGGAUUUGUAUGAACAUGAAAUGUGGUGACUGAAUGUAUGUUUUUGGACUAGUUUAUAUUUGAAGGCAGGGGGCUGAUUUUGAAUGAUUAUUGAUGUCAUGAGGUAUUUUUUGUGAUAGGCAGGGGCUGGUUCUGUUCUUGUUAACACAGAGCUGAAUAUGUUUGAAUAAGUUAAGCUUGACUUAAUGUAUGGUGAAGGAUUCUCUAUCUUGAUACAAGUUAUUGGAAAUGAUAUGAGGUUGCCUUGGUGCUAUUUAUUUUUUUGUAUGAACUUGGUGUUUAGCUGCAGGUCUGGAUUUGACAGUAGCAAGGUGUUGUAGAUGAAUGGAGGGCUAUAUGGUGACUAUUUGGACAUGAAGGACUUGCAAGAGCGUAGGCGAAAACUUGAGGCGACUUGUAUCUAGACCGUGAUAUGAAGUUCAACAAUAUAAUAUCUCUCAUGUUUAGAUUUCUGUUUGUAAUGUGACAACAUGACAUUUGGACUCUUGGAUGAGUAUAUUUUGUAAAGGAUUUUCUUUUUCACUUCACGUUGUAAUAGCCUUUGAACAAGAAUAAUGAACAUGUAAUGUAUUGGAUGUUGAA